rnacentral:rRNA from 1 species
AGCGGUGGAAUGCGCAGAUAUCAGGAGGAACACCGAUGGCGAAGGCAGAUCUCUGGGCCGUAACUGACGCUGAGGAGCGAAAGGGUGGGGAGCAAACAGGCUUAGAUACCCUGGUAGUCCACCCCGUAAACGUUGGGAACUAGUUGUGGGGUCCAUUCCACGGAUUCCGUGACGCAGCUAACGCAUUAAGUUCCCCGCCUGGGGAGUACGGCCGCAAGGCUAAAACUCAAAGGAAUUGACGGGGACCCGCACAAGCGGCGGAGCAUGCGGAUUAAUUCGAUGCGACGCGAAGAACCUUACCAAGGCUUGACAUAUACGAGAACGCUGCAGAAAUGUAGAACUCUUUGGACACUCGUAAACAGGUGGUGCAUGGUUGUCGUCAGCUCGUGUCGUGAGAUGUUGGGUUAAGUCCCGCAACGAGCGCAACCCUCGUUCUAUGUUGCCAGCACGUAAUGGUGGGAACUCAUGGGAUACUGCCGGGGUCAACUCGGAGGAAGGUGGGGAUGACGUCAAAUCAUCAUGCCCCUUAUGUCUUGGGCUUCACGCAUGCUACAAUGGCCGGUACAAAGGGCUGCAAUACCGUAAGGUGGAGCGAAUCCCAAAAAGCCGGUCCCAGUUCGGAUUGAGGUCUGCAACUCGACCUCAUGAAGUCGGAGUCGCUAGUAAUCGCAGAUCAGCAACGCUGCGGUGAAUACGUUCCCGGGUCUUGUACACACCGCCCGUCAAGUCAUGAAAGUCGUAACACCUGAAGCCGGUGGCCCAACCCUUGUGGAGGAGCCGUCGAAGUGGAUCG